CUCUCUCGUUUAUCUUUGGAUCUCUAGCACCUUGAACAAAGAAUGAAGUCAGUCCUGUGAUUCAUCUGUCACAACUCCAUGGGGGAGAGUUCCUCUUCUCUGCUCUCUACUGGCGCAUUGCACACUUGGGCAUUUAUGGUUGCUGGUGAAUACUGAUAUUUAAAUGAACUUCCUCCUUCAUGACCAAACACACAGGAGCUUUACGUAAUCCCCGGACCCCACGUGAUGCUAAUGUAUAGAUUUAGCAGGCAGUAAGUAUGACCCGGCUUAUGAGAGUUUCACAGCUUGCCACCACCCAAUCUCCUAAGCAAAUUUCCUUCAGCAAAUGAUGGGUCACCCAAUUAUUGAACCUUAGAGCUGGAAGAGAAGUUGAGGAAUUCACUGAUUCUUGGGGACUCAUUUGAUUCUCUUCAAGAACCUGAUUCUGUGAAGUGGACGUGCUACAAACGAAUGAGGUGUCCUUUCACUCCUGCAAUCGUAUUUAACCACAGGCUUCUUAUAUGAGGCAGCGUCACGUGGAGAGUUGAUGAAAAAUACGCACG
rnacentral:lncRNA from 1 species